rnacentral:tRNA from 1 species
GGGGGGGUAGCUCAGUUGGGAGAGCGUCGUGUUCGCAAUGCGAAGGUCGGGAGUUCGAUCCUCCUCCUCUCCACCA